rnacentral:tRNA from 1 species
AAGGCUAUAGCUUAAUAAAAGUGUUUGAGUUGCAUUCAGAGGAUGUGUAUUAGGAUUACACUGGUCUUC